AGAGUUUGAUCCUGGCUCAGAUUGAACGCUGGCGGCAGGCUUAACACAUGCAAGUCGAGCGGUAGCACAGGGGAGCUUGCUCCCCGGGUGACGAGCGGCGGACGGGUGAGUAAUGUCUGGGAAACUGCCUGAUGGAGGGGGAUAACUACUGGAAACGGUAGCUAAUACCGCAUAACGUCGCAAGACCAAAGAGGGGGACCUUCGGGCCUCUUGCCAUCAGAUGUGCCCAGAUGGGAUUAGCUAGUAGGUGGGGUAAUGGCUCACCUAGGCGACGAUCCCUAGCUGGUCUGAGAGGAUGACCAGCCACACUGGAACUGAGACACGGUCCAGACUCCUACGGGAGGCAGCAGUGGGGAAUAUUGCACAAUGGGCGCAAGCCUGAUGCAGCCAUGCCGCGUGUGUGA
rnacentral:rRNA from 1 species